rnacentral:rRNA from 1 species
UUGAACGCUGGCGGCAUGCCUUACACAUGCAAGUCGAACGGCAGCGCGGGGCAACCUGGCGGCGAGUGGCGAACGGGUGAGUAAUAUAUCGGAACGUACCCUAGAGUGGGGGAUAACGUAGCGAAAGUUACGCUAAUACCGCAUACGAUCUAAGGAUGAAAGUGGGGGAUCGCAAGACCUCAUGCUCGUGGAGCGGCCGAUAUCUGAUUAGCUAGUUGGUAGGGUAAAAGCCUACCAAGGCAUCGAUCAGUAGCUGGUCUGAGAGGACGACCAGCCACACUGGAACUGAGACACGGUCCAGACUCCUACGGGAGGCAGCAGUGGGGAAUUUUGGACAAUGGGCGAAAGCCUGAUCCAGCAAUGCCGCGUGAGUGAAGAAGGCCUUCGGGUUGUAAAGCUCUUUUGUCAGGGAAGAAACGGUGAGUUCUAAUACAGCUUGCUAAUGACGGUACCUGAAGAAUAAGCACCGGCUAACUACGU